AACAGAAGCCGGAGACCUUUUAUUAUAGCUCCUGUACCCACGGGGGAGGCGGAGCUUCGGCUCCUUCUGAGCAGACACACGCUGGCCCCUCCCCCACGAGGCCAAACAAACAAACAGUGGCGUUCAGGUGCGGCACGCAGGAAUUCAACCAGUUCGUCUCCUAACGUUUCCUUAAGCAAGUGACAGGGGGCGACAUCAACGAUGAACGCGCAGGACGCUGGGGUUUCAGUGCGUCCGGCCGAGCUGCAUCACCUGAAGCGUCGUGACGGCACCGCGUCAUUGUGCGGUUCCCCAGUUUCGCCCCAGUCCUCGCAAACACGCGUUCACGCAUCAUUAAUGGGUCCGCACAUGAUCCCUGCUUGUUCAGCACUAAGGUGUGAAGCAGCGGCUCGUUCCCGAGGCCCAUCGAAACAACCGUUUGAUCCCGGUGUCAACAAAAGCCUGCGUGUUUCUUAAUACUUGAUCCUGCAUCCAGUGAAACAGGAUGAGACUUCAGCUUUGAGCCUAUGGAACAGACUUUAAAUUUGAAAAUUCAUUUGCAUUAUUUUACGUUUAAUUUUAUUUUGUACUUCGUGUGGGCUUAAUUUAAUUCUGCUUCUAAAUUUUCUAAAACUUUGUUCUUAAAACUUCAUUUGUUUCAUUUGUCCAACAAUAGUAAAUAUAAGUUUUGGGUGUGAGGGGUUUCUUUCAUCAGCAACUCUGCAGAUGCAACAUUUGUUUACUUCUGAUGCUACAAAGAUGAAGACGAUCUCUAAUGGUCUUACAUUGAUGUGCUGUUUGUGAAAAACAGAUGGAAAAAGUAAUUCAAUGUUGUAACUAAUUCGCAUGAACUCUAAUAAUAAUUGUAUCUGGUUUGAAUUAAGUGAGCUCUUCUCAGCCUCCUUUGUGUUUUGUGAGAGGCAGCAUCCUGCAGCUCACUGCCUUUAUAGUCCAGUAUUUUUACCAUGUGGGACUUACGUAAAACAAAUUCCUGGAGUGUGUAGGAGCCAAGUGGAAAUGGGCUCUGCUUCCUGAGGUAAAACUGGACAAUUACUUCCUUUACUUUCACCCUGCAACAGCCACCUACAGCCGCAGUAGCUGAGGAGGCAGGAAGGCUGACUUUACAUCCAUGAUAAGGCUAAUGUCACAGAAAUAAGCAGGUUAAGUUGGGUCAAAGCAGACAAAACGCACAAAACCUCAACCAACAAACCAACAACCGGGACACAGAUGAAGGUGAAAAAGUCUGAGCCUGGGUUUCUCCCUUCUUUCUAAACAGGAGACGCUUCCAGCUCCAGUGUUUUCUUAGCACAAUUACUUAAGAUUCCAGUCAGAUAGAGCCGAGGCAUAUAUCGCAAGCACAGAUAAACAGACGCUUUAACUUGCUCAGUUGUUUGUUCAAAAGCCAUUCUAUCAUCUAAACAUGUCAUUCAGUCGUUUGUCGAUCAAAUCGCUCCGUCGUCGUGUCUCAUGUUUCCUCCUGCUUAUUGAGGAUAAUGGGUAAAGAAAACACAGCUUUGAUACGAGACUUUAAUGUUUGAACUGAUACAUGAAUAACUGAAUGUAAAGAAUAACGCUGACAGCAAUAGACAGCAUUGCUGACAAAUUCUAAUGGAAAAAUAUCACACACUGUAAAAAACUGUAUAAAUGUUUGAAAUAAAUGUACACCUCAAUAUAAAUAUGUGUAGCAUGAGGUUUAUCUGUUUGGAAGAUGGCAGGUGAAUCUUACAAAGCUGUGAAUACUGUAAACCUAUAAUGGGAGGAUGCAAAUUUUAGCCAUGACCCCAACCACCACAUCAGUAAAACAAAUGUGAAAGACCGUGUUCAGAAUGGCCUUACUUCCAGACUUCCAGAACACACACACACACCAAUUAUCCUGCGUCACCCACAAAGUGAGGGGGAAACCCAGCGGUUAUCUUAGGUAAAUACGCAGAGUUGCAUGGCAUGAAAACAACGUGAUUACAGACUAAAAAGUAAAGUGCAACGACCGCAUGGAGACGGGCUGGAUAUCAGAAGGAGACGGGGGAGAGGAAAUAAGAAGGAAGGCAUUAUGGGAGAGGAGCUUAAAGGAACUCUGGCCUGAAGUAAACAGCAGCACUGCUUUUUCUGAGUCUGACACCUGGUUGGACAAACAAAGAUUUACAGGUAUUUAUGUCUGACCUGACUCAUUGGACUUGGGUUAAACGGGAUCAGGACUGAAUGUGACUGUAGAAUUAAUGUCCCAAAAACCUAAGGUUUACUAAUUAUCAACCAACUACUGGUGGACUCCUACAGUAUGUUAAGUAUAUCUGACCAAAUUCUCAAAGACAAGAAUAUCCAACAUGAAGAUUCAUGAAACUACAGUAAGAUACAGAUCAAGGCAGUGAUCACUGAGUAACGUGCUAAAAGGUUUAACUUGGUGGUGGAUAGAUAUGGGUGCAUUGGGCAAUAAUGAAGCCAUUAGCAGCUCGCUGUUAGCCUAAUGAGAUCAGGGGCCACAGACUUAUCAGUCGUCAGCACAAUGUUGGUUGAUUUAGGCAUCCUGUGUGCGUGAUCAGGAUUAGGCGUAAUUAGGAGCCUGAAUAGCAAUGAUGAUCCAUUGGGCCAGAGUCACACAGUUAGUGAUGUUGACUGGGAUAUGUUCAAAAAUUGUGUGGUAAUAAAAAAAAAGAAAAA